CUAGGAUGAACGCUAGCUACAGGCUUAACACAUGCAAGUCGAGGGGCAGCAUGGCUUAGCUGCUAAGACUGAUGGCGACCGGCGCACGGGUGAGUAACGCGUAUCCAACCUUCCCCUUAGGUAGAGGAUAGCCCGGCGAAAGUCGGAUUAAUACUCUAUGUUGAUUUUGAGGACAUCUGAGGAAUACCAAAGACUUGUCGCUAAGGGAUGGGGAUGCGUCUGAUUAGGUUGUUGGCGGGUAGCGGCCACCAAGCCGACGAUCAGUAGGGUUCUGAGAGGAAGGUCCCCCACAUUGGUACUGAGACACGGACCAAACUCCUACGAGAGGCAGCAGUGAGGAAUAUUGGUCAAUGGGCGCGAGCCUGAACCAGCCAAGUAGCGUGCAGGACGACUGCCCUAUGGGUUGUAAACUGCUUUUACAGGGGAAUAAAGUGCGGGACGCGUCCCGUUUUGUAUGUACCCUGCGAAUAAGGACCGGCUAAUUCCGUGCCAGCAGCUGC
rnacentral:rRNA from 1 species